ACAUUGUUUGAAAGCAUGGAUUGUAAUAUAAAGAAAAUAGUAUUAGUGAUUUAAAGUAGGUUUAAUUAUAAAGUAAAAAUGUAUAUUUAACUUAAAAAUCUAUAAAAUAAAGGUAAGGUCCAAAGGUAGGAUUCUAUUUUAAUAAAUAGAUCUAUAUAAAUUUAAGACAACUUUUGACAAAGAAUCAUAUAAAUAAAGCAUUUCGACUUUUUUUCCCACAACAAAAUUGACAGAUAUAAAAUAAUGAAUAUUAGAAAAACAUUUGUUAUGUUUUUUGUUGUAGUGGUAUUAGCAACGUCUUCGUUGUCCAACUCCAACGUUUUAGCCUCACCGGUGAUCAAUUAUGGGGAUGGAUAUACUUAUUGCAGUGUAAGAUAUUGUACAAAAGAUUGGUUAGACACUGAAUGCGAAGCUGAGUGUAAAAGAAGAACAUACAGCACAGGGGCAUGUCUUGGUCCUUUUCCAAAACUUCAAUGUUGUUGCAAAAAGUGAAAUAAAAAAACAUUAGAAAGUGGUCAUCUUUUAUACAACUGGUGAUUUAAGGGUUGGUUUAUAUAUUUCUAUUGUAUAAAAAGAUAUUUUAUUAUCUUUUUUUCUCUUCAAUAAAAUAAUCUAAUUAUAUUAUUA